GGCUCAGGAUGAACGCUAGCUACAGGCUUAACACAUGCAAGUCGAGGGGCAGCAUUUUAGUUGCUUGCAAACUAAAGAUGGCGACCGGCGCACGGGUGAGUAACACGUAUCCAACCUGCCGAUAACUCAGGGAUAGCCUUUCGAAAGAAAGAUUAAUACCUGAUGGCAUAGGAUUAUCGCAUGAUAAUCCUAUUAAAGAAUUUCGGUUAUCGAUGGGGAUGCGUUCCAUUAGGCAGUUGGUGAGGUAACGGCUCACCAAACCUUCGAUGGAUAGGGGUUCUGAGAGGAAGGUCCCCCACAUUGGAACUGAGACACGGUCCAAACUCCUACGGGAGGCAGCAGUGAGGAAUAUUGGUCAAUGGACGGGAGUCUGAACCAGCCAAGUAGCGUGAAGGAUGACUGCCCUAUGGGUUGUAAACUUCUUUUAUACGGGAAUAAAGUGGUCCACGUGUGGAUUUUUGUAUGUACCGUAUGAAUAAGGAUCGGCUAACUCCGUG
rnacentral:rRNA from 1 species